rnacentral:sRNA from 1 species
GGAGGACUGCUUAAGCCCCGGAGUUCUGGGCUGCAGCACGCUAUGUGGAUCGGGUGUCCACACCAAGUCCGUCAUCAAUAUGGUGACCUCCCAGGAGCCGGGGACCACCAGGUUGCUUAAGGAAGG